GUUUGAAUACUCAGAUCUAGAUUUGCUUACUCUUGACCUUGAUUCUUUUUGAUUCAAGCAUGCCGUCAAAUUUUGGUUUGCAAGAGAAGCCCAAACUUUCUAUUAGGUUUCAUUAGGAAAAUGAACAGGAGUUAAGAAGGGCUGAACUUUGUUGUGCACCUCUGACAGAGAUUUGUUCUUAAGCACAAACUUGCAUGAGUUAUGGUAAAGAAAUACAUAUUUGGAUAUCAACUUUGCACCUAGCUGACCUUUCCUUUAGAUCAGCCUGAAUUUAGAUUGAUACAGGUUGUCUCAGCUGACUCUAUGAUUGUGUUUGGCAAGUCAUGCUAAAAUAAAAUAGUCACAUAAAGUUCUAGCAUAAUGUACAAUGAUAACGUGACAGUUAAUGCAUAGUAAAUUGAGAAGAAAAGAUUUAAGUUGGAAAAUAGGAGUGGAUGUUGGUAUGUGUUAUCAUAUUAUAGAAGGGGACCUGUGAGACCUAGAACUGAAUGCAAAAGUGUUCCGUUAAUUAUCCAGAAUAUAUUCUGGUACAAUAACAAUGAUUCGGGUGCCUAAUAUGCACUAACAGUGAUUACUAAAGUCUUCCUCUUGCACUGCUAAUACUUUAGGAUGAUAUCAUAAUGUAUCUUUUCUUUGCAGGUGGUGAAGCCUAGACCCUUGCAGGCUGCAAGCAUCCCUGGGCUGCUUGGAAUGUUCCAAAAUGUAGGCGUCUUAAACUCUCUGAUUUUGAUAUGACCAGUUCUUGUCAUCAUGUUUUAAAAGGAUAGUAUUUUUUAUAAAAAAUUUUAUUCCUACUAAAUACUAAGAAAUUCUCGCUGUGAUAAUUUGGAGUUUGUUGAUGAAUUUAUUUUCUGCUUCCAAAAGAAGACUUCAUAUCUUAGACACAAAUUUUUCUUCUUGAGCUUGAGUGUGAUAUUUUGAUGGAUUUGAAUUUGUAUUUGGAGUUGAUGCCAAUAUGGCAGUUCAUCAGGUCAUUUAGGGAGCUUGUGUGCUACUAAAUCGUGAUAUGUAUAAUUUGGCAUGCUUUCUAAAAUUACAAAUUGUGGUUGCAUAAUAUCAAAUUUUGGUGGUAUUACUGCAAUUUAGAUAAGCCCUAAGAUCGUAAAUUGAAAUUUUAUGAUAAAAUGUGGUAGUGUCUUCCAAAUUUUGUUCGGAGUUCAUGCCAUAUGGCAGUUUAUUGUGUCAUUAGGGUAAGCUUGGGUGUGCUUCUAAAUCAUGAUAAUUAUAAUUUGACAUGCUUUCUAAAGUUACAAAUUGCAGUUACAUAAUGUCAAAUUCUGGUAGGAUACUGUAAUUUAGACAAGCCCUAAGGUCGUGAUGCCAUAUUUCUCUAUUGUUACCAUCUUAUGCUUUUCUGUUUUGUAAUCUGCUUCUUCUUCUUCUUCUUCAUCAACAACCAAACUUCUCCUAGAAGGUCACAACUCUCAAAAUUCAAAUUCUUUAGAUGGGGAAAGAGGAUUAAAAUCAUGAUUUUAAAUUUAAAGGUCUCGAAAGAUAGCCCUAGAAAUGAUUAUAUCCAGAAGCAGAUCUUGAAGACUGCAUGUUUCAUCGCGAGCCAUGCAGUGGAGAACAUGUUUCACUUGCUCAGCAAACCUAAGUUACUUCUCAGUGAUGGAUGGGAGAGCAUUAUCAAUAGUCAUGCUCUUUUUGUUAGCUAAAAUUGUUUUAAUUCUAGCCCUAAGCAUGCAAGUAAAAAAAUGCCAACAUUUUAGCCUACAAGGUUACAUUUAGUAGAAUUGCAAUUUUUAACAGAUGUACUAAAAUCAUUUGAACAUUUAGAUGCCUGAGUUGUUUGUGUUUUCCUUCACAGUUAAAAGUAAAAAAAGGCCCAUCGAUUUAUACCUCAAUCUUAUUUAUUUAUUUUACUUAAACAUAUAUAAAAUGAUAAAGGCAUAUUCACCCUAGAAGUUAUUUAUUCCGAUGAUUUGAUCUGGAUGUCGGGCUUUCUGUAACAUACUCUAAAUACAUUGUUUAAGUUUAUCCACAUGGAUGUGUCACAUCACUUAUUCAAUGAUAUAGAUAUUGAACUAUGUAAUGCCCUUACAGCAUAUGGAACGCAAAUAAGAUGCAAUCAAUGAGGUUUUGGUCAUUCCACUAGAUAUAGGAAGGUGUAAUGGAGCAAUGCAUGUAAAAGUUAAAUUAUACUGGUUUACCCAGAAAAAGAGGUUAAAUUGUGCUAUAACAGAUAGUAUGAACCUUUUUUUUAAUGUUUCUGGUGUUAAUUAAGCAUUACAAUCAUUAAUUUAUGCCAUCUUUCUGGAAAAGCAAAUAAUAUAACAUUAAAUUUGAGUAAGAGGUAAAGUUUGGAGAGGAAUACUUUUCCCAUCAACAAUGCAUGAAACACUGAAACACAACAAAUUACAGUGUUGCUCUUUUGGAAGACAUUGCUAUCUGAAUUCUAAUCAAUCAAGAAGCAGUAUUAUUUUUGCAUGUUACUGAGAUUUCAAUUUGGAAGUAAUGAUUAACAUAGGAGAAACCUGUAAUGUUCAAGGUCCAAUGAGCCAUCUUUUAGAGAAUGACUAGGCGCGUUGUGUCAUGCACAAUCUACAUCAAUCACAUCUUCAUUCUGCUAAUUAAUUUGCAGUGAAAUAGUAGGUGACUAUUGAAUUUAUAAAUUAAGCUGCAUAGAGAGAGCAUUUCUCCACUUCAAUCCCUUUAUUUGCUAUUAUGGUGAUUAUCAAAAGCUCAGUGCUUCAAGUAAAUGCCUUGAUUAAGUCAAACCGGUUGAUGCCACUUCUUCAUCUGGUUACUGCAUCUUUUGUGCUUGAAGGAUUGAAAUAAGGAACUAGCAUCCAAAGCCCAUUUAGCCUCUAAAUCCAGUCUUAGUAGUUGGAACAUCCAUUUAUUUUCUUGGCCAUGCAAGCAGGGUCAAGAGCUGUGUUCCUUCCCUACAAAGUUAUUAUUUAACAUGGCUCCACACCUCCCCACCAUUUGCUUCACACCAGAAUUCUCUUGCCAAAGGCACCUAAGAUAAUGAUGCCACCAUCUACCAAUCUGCAAUAUCAUAUAAUUCUGCCUACCUGUAGUAAACCUUAACACAUGCUCAAAACAGGCUCCAAAAAUAGUAAAGGUUUCAAACUUUCUAUACCCAUCCAAAAAUUCAUACCGAGAUAAUACCAAUUUAUAGUAGCGACUCUUCUAAAAUCUUACCUCAUCAUCAUCUAUUCUUCUAAUUAUUUACCUAGCAAAAGUCUUGUUCUUAUUCUUUGAAUUCCAAACACCAUUCCAAGUACCAAUCCCUCUUUCUUUCUAUUGUGACUUUAUUCCGUUAAUCCAUGGAAAUUACUAUAUAUCCGCUCUAGCUUGAAAUUAAUGGUUUUCAUGGUUAUGAACAGAAAGAAAGUACAAUUUUGGAGAAUCAAGAAAAUGGUUACUCUUAUCUUACUUUUAGAAGAGGGCAGUGGACUCUUACACCCUGCUAGUUUUUUCUUUUAUCAAAAUGCUCCAAGAUGAGAUCCCGAUGCACCUGUGGCUUCUGUAACAUCAACAAGAAAACCAAAUAAUUAGAAGGUGAUGUACUAUUCACAUCUGCAAAUUUACUCCAAUAGCCAUAUGACUCUUGCCUGCACUAAGCCCAAGCCAGGUGCUUUUGUUAAGGUUGAUUCUAAGAUUAGGUCACAGAUUCAAAAUAAAAUAGGUUGCGGUUAUAUCUUAGUGGAUUGGUAAAGAUGACAUCUCAAAAAAUAAGUUAAGAGUUGGCGUAGAGUACUGUCUGACCUAAAAAACUUUACUCAAGGUUGAGUAAAACAGAAGUAGGAUCCUUUUGCUUCAUACUCUCCGAGUUCUUAAGGAUGCCUUUCUAGAAAACUACAUAAAACUAAUUCUGAGAUAUUUAUCAGUUAUAUUUUGAUCUUUUUUGGGAGGUUUUACAUUUUGGUGGCCAUUGAAGAUCUCCCUUUGUACUGGCCUCUAAGAUGCUUCAUUUUUUCCCUUAUUCCCUUUAAUCCUUUUCAUAUGAAGUCAACUUUAGGAAAUAAUUGGGGAUUAUGGAAUCAAUAGCAAUUACAUAAAGUGGAUGUAGCUGGCAUUAGGAAAUUUAGAAGCUGAGAAAUUAACAAUUAUUAUUUUUUGAAAGUUUGGUUGCAUGGGCUAGUUGGGACCUGGGUGUGGUUAAUGUCAGGAGCAAGAUUUGAAGUCCUCCUCCUCGUCUGCCUCCUUUGUUAAAGUAUGUUUUGGCUUCUCCUGGAAUUACACUAUUUGUCUUGUAACUAGGCAUUGAAUAAAACUUAUCAAAGUUGGCAGAAAACAAUUCAAGCUAACUCUGGAAAACAAAGGCUCGUUUCACUCGAAUUUAAAGGCUGAAUUAUCAUCCCAAAAAAAUGUGUGAUCUCUAUCAGCAUACGAAUGUUAGCCAUUUUCAUGUGCAGCGGUUGCCUUGCAAGCAUUGUGCAUAUAUGCAUUCACAAUGAAACCAUUCUAAACAUAUGAAGCUCAUCUUGCCUCAUGUAGAUCAAUGCUUACGUGAGUGCAGGCUGCUAUUGUGGUUAUACAGCAUUUGUAGGUAGGAUGUGCUUGUCUUAUUUUGACAUUUCCAUAUAUUUUUCCUUUUUUUUUUGAAUUUACAAAUAGAAAGUAAAGAGUUAUUUCUGCUAUAACAUUGACAUGGGGUGCUAAUGCUUUUAGGCUGUAUUUUGUGUAACAAGUCAAUCUAGAGGAAAAAGGUUAUUCCUCCUAACCCUCUUUACUUCAGAAUUAACUAUUCCAAGCUGUAGCGUGGAAUAAUUUACUCCAAGUUAAGUGGAAAAGUAGCUGUCAAGUUUUUAAAUUAUCUAUUUUGUCCUCAAUAAAUUGGUAGCUGUUCUAGCGUUUUGUGGGUUAAAGUGGAAUAGAAGGGUUAAAGAAGCCUUUCCACCUUUUGUUCCAUUUAACCUCUCUUUAGGCAACAACAAAAUGCAGACUUAAGGAAUACAUCUUUGGUUAAUGAAUGUUUUGCCACAUAAUAGCUCAUAUAGCUUUUUGCAACCUCCCUAUGCAGCAUGGUUUUAUGUGAUAAGUUCAAUGGCUCAUUGAGGAUGAGAGACUGAAGCAGAUUUUAUUUUAUUUUAUUUUAUUUUAUUUUUUACAACCUUAAACAAGAUGAGCAUAUUGCAUCUCCAUGUGAGUAAUGCUAAAUGGUGGAAUAAGCCAACAAUGUUCUCAACUGACUUUUGGCCUUAAACCAUAGCUAGUCUUAUCACAAAAUGAGAACAACAUCCUGUGCUAUUCAUAUUUAUAUAUAAUUAAAACCGGGUCUAUGAUCAAUAGAUUCAAUACCAACCGAGAAACUGCAAGUUAGUGUUCUUUAGACCAAGAAGGUUUGGAAUUCAUGAUUUUGUUUGGAUGCAUAGACUUUGGAAGAUAUUAUUAAGGAGUGUGACCCUACUGAAAGGAAUCGGAACAUUACAAGCAACAGCAAGGCUCCAAUAUGGAGACAUUGAAUCUUAUUUUUGGUCUCAUAGUAACUUGAUAUGGAAUUUAUUAUGCCAUUAUCUUUCCACCUUAUAAUGUGGAAGACUGGACACCUACUCAAAAGAGCAUUGUGAUUAACAUACAGAGGUAUGUGUAAACCAUGAUAUGGUGGGAUAUUAGAUAUUUGCAUGAGAGAUCACUUAAAUUUUGACAAUUUCUGGCUGGAUGUAAAUAGUAUGCCACACUAUAUGAUUUGGAAUAUUGGCCUUUUGGGUUGAGGGAUUUAAAAGGCAACCUUCUUAUGUAGUUGAGCACAUAGUUUCUCAUAAUGCGGUUCUACUUUUUUAUUUCUUCCUUCUUUCUAAUUUCUGCUUUUUCUUCCACAAGGACAAUGUAUUUACCACUUUUGAUGUGAUAACAUAUUAUUAAUUGAAAAAUGGCUUUCCAAGAAGAAUGAAGAGGAUAUGAUCUUCAACCUAGCUUGAGUUUAGAAUGUAUUUUUUCUGUAUGCUCCAAUGGCAAUUGAAACAUGGAAGAUCACUAAUGAAUUUUUUUCCUGAUAUUCUGGAACCUGAAAGAUCAAGGACAAUUCUGCCUUUUAAUUUUUCUGAAAGCUUGCUUUAGAUAUUGAAACUACUGAUCAGGUAAUCAUGUUCGGUAAGUGUUAUGGCUGUGAUAAUCCAUAUUGUUUGUUCACCAUAAUAUCUGUAUCUUUGGAUCUUCAUUUUGCUUAUGUAAGGUUAUAUGCUUUUAAACAAUUUUAACUUUUGGUCUGCUGAUGCUAAUUUAGCUACCAGUUGUCUAGAUUUAACUCUAUAAUUUUCUCAACCCUUAUUUCCAUCUAUGGAUGGCAGGAGUGGGAUGCUUUGAUGCUCUCCAAUUUUGCUCUGGAACAGCAGUUGCAUACAGCAAGGCAAGAGCUAAGUCAUGCCCUAUACCAGGUAUUAAUUAAUUGCAUUAUUUUGUUUUUGUGAUUAGCGGCAUAUUCUGGCACUGAAUAUAGCCCUUCUAUGUUCUAUUCUGCUUGGUAGCAGUUGAUGUUAGAGGCAAAUGACAUUUAGUUUUGCCUUUAUCUUUGAUAUAGUAUAUCUACUUUAGUUUGAAGUCUUUUUUGUGUUCUCUAGUUUGGUCUGUGCAAUCUUUAAGAAAUCUUUUAUUAUCAUGAGUCACUUCAAUUUCUUCCUUUGCAUUUAUUUUCCAGCACGAUGCUGCAUGCCGUGUUAUAGCAAGACUAAAGAAGGAAAGGGAUGAGGCCAGAAUUCUCUUGGCUCAGGCUGAAAGACAGAUUCCGUCAUCUAUAGCAUCUGCUGCUAAUGCAAACAAUAUUGUCAGCAAUGGGAAAAGAGGUUUCUGUUAUUUGCUGUGUUGUAAUUGAGCUUUGGUGGUACAGCAGGAAUUGGUUCCAUAUCUUAAGAAUUUGCUUUAUUGUACUUGUAGCUGCAGAAGAGGAGUUAGGCCCUGAUGGGAAGAGAAUUCGUCCAGGUAUAAAUCCUGCUAUGAUUGCAGAACUUACAGAGUGUAAUGCUAUGCUUUCAGGACAGCGGAAGAAGCGGCAGGUAGUUAUUCUUUUGCUAUGCAACUCUAGCAGCUCUCUUUUUCAUCAUUAUUAGCCAACAUUAUGGCAUCUUGAUUUGUAGAAGAAAUGGCUGGAACCAAACUUUAUUGAUAGAAAUGGAGCACAAAGAUAUGAGCACACACAUGCACAUGGAUUGGGGGUGGGGGGGGGGGAUCCCAAGGGAAGGAGGGAGCAAGGGAGUGGUUGUAUAUUAAUAUUGCUGGAUGAGAGGGGGAGAGAGAGAGAGAGAGUGAUUGUAUAUUAAUAUACUGGAUGAGGGAGAGAGGGAGAGAGGGAGUUGUUGUAUAUCAAGGGUGUGACUUUUUACAGUUGCUUCUUAAUUGCUACAAUUUGAUCCAUAUCUUGUGUUUGCUAGAUUUCACCAACAUUGGCACCCAUUGAUGCGCUGGAGAGAUACACACAAAUCUCUAGCCAUCCCCUUCACAAGACUAACAAGCCAGGCAUUGUAUCUGUCGAUAUCCAUCCUUCAAAGGUACACAUUAAUAAUUUUCUGUUCUCUGACCUAUUAUCAUGCUUUUGUGUGUCCUUGUGUGAACAAUGUAUGCAUGUACUAUGUUUCUGCACACACCCAUGCAUGGUAACAGACUUCUUGUGCAUGGGGAAAGGAUUGUGCAUAGCCAUGUGGAUGAAAAGGUGAAACAUUAUGUGACCUGAUACGGCAAUUAUCUGACAUGAGGAAAGGGUUUUCACUUUUUGGACUUGUCCUCUAGUCUAAAAAGCUUUUUUUUUUGGGAUAAGAUCCACAAGUUUGCAUUUGGGCUUAAAAUGAUCGGAGCUGUUCAUGAGUAGCUCAAGCUUUGCUCAAUUGCAUGGAUUGAUCUAGCUUGUUCGGUAAGGAAAUGAGCCAAGCUCAAAAUCAUUGAGAGCUUGACUCACAGAUGACAAGCUUGUUCAGUUAACAGAUGAGCGAAGCUUGAACAGAUGUUGCCAAAGCUCAGCUUGGGCCCAAUAGUCCUUUUAUAAUAAUAAGCACAGGUGAGCUCCUUAGUACUUGGCUCGGCUUAUGUUUUUUGCGGUGCUGCUUUGAAGUGGCCAGAGCUAUUCUGCAUAAUCUGACAGAUACUUUGUAGACAGAUACCAUGUUGUUUUUAGGAAGUCUUUAGAAUAACGACCAGCAUCACAUAUGUAUGAUAAAGCUUGGUGGUUAUGUAGUUUGUUAUUUCCUUUGGAAGAGAAAUCAUAUUUUUUUGAAAAUUCAUGUUAUUACUUUCACAUUGCUAAUGUUUAUUGAAUCUCAGAAUAUGCAUGAAUAGUGCAAGGACACGAGAUGACUAGGUUUAUUGUUUGUUAUUUUCCUUAUUAUAUAUGUAUGUGUGUGUAUGCGUGUAUAUAUGUAUAUAUAUAAUGUAUUAAAUAUACAUAUAUAUGUUUGUGUACCACUGAGAAAUAUAAAUUGCAUGCUUAAAUUUUCUUUUUUAAUAUUUUAAUUGGGCAGAAAUGUAUUGAGAUUUUACCUAUGCAUAUCAUGCAUAUAUGUAUUGAGAUGUCACCUAUGCAUAUUAUCUAUAUAUUCCAUACACAGUGUUCGGUGAACAUUAAAAGAAAUAUGAAACUUCACAGAAUAAUGGUUUUUCCAUUUCAUUUUGUUGGAUGUAAAAAUUUUUGUGCAUAGUUUUAUGAAUAUAGCUGCCAUUUUGAAAAAAAAUAUUACGUACAUUUUGUGAUUGGAAUUUGAGAAGUCUGCAUGUCUCAUUUGAAGCAUUUUCCUAAAUGAUUAACAGGAUAUAAUUGCAACUGGAGGGAUUGAUACAAAUGCAGUAGUUUUUGAUAGGUCAGCAGGUCAGAUCAUAUGUACACUCACUGGCCACUCAAAGAAGGUUUAUGCUUUCAUCUUUCAUCCUCCUGUAUCUAUUACAGCGAUCUUUCUUUAUUUUCUUCGAUUUUUUUAAUCCUUCUAAUAUCAUUGGUAUUUUAACUGAAAUUUUAGGUUACCAGUGUGAAAUUUGUACCUCGAGAUGAGCUUUUUAUUUCUGGAUCGGGAGAUAAGGUUAGUCGUCAGCUAAGCAUCUUGUUGUUGUUGUUAUUGUUGUUGAUUACCUAAGCAUCUGUUACCCUAUAUGUUACUGAUUCGGUUUCAUAUUUCAUUAGCUUGCUGAAGGAUUCUCAUUUGUUGUCUAUAGGAAAUUACUCUGCUUCAUGGCUAUUUUUGGAGAGCUUAAAUAUAAAAUUAGUUUCUUAAAUAUGGGCUGCGAUUCAAGGAAUUUUGUCCUUCAUGUUGGCGUUUAUAUUAAUACAAACCUCAGUGACUAGCUUAUUUUUUCUGCAAGUGAGAUAACAAAAAUAGGGGUUUUAUACUAACAUCUUCUUUAUGAGGGAAUAAGCUAAAUCUCAGCAUUAUCACAGAAUCAUGAUUACAGAGCUUACAUGACUUCAUCUUAUCUAUGAUGAGCCAUUUUAAGGCAAACCUUUGGCAUUUUAAGUAUGCAAGCUGGUGUCAUUCAUGUGAAACGUCAUUGAUAGAUUGUCACAUUUUUGUAUUAAAUUAAAUCCUUGCUUUAAUGCAUGAUUUCAAACCUGGCUUAAACAAACUGCCAACAAUGCAAAAAAAUAGCAGUGUUGAAAUCAAUUUUAUUUUAAUGACUUAUUUCUCCUCAAGCACUUAUGCUACAUUAAUUUGCAUUGAUUAAGUUUAGUUCUUUACUUGUUACAAUCAACAUUGCUCCAUUAUAUGUCUUCUCAUAACUGAAAGAAUUGGUUUAUUGUUGAUUUCCCUUCACUGUAUAUUCCCCUUUAUCAUUAUAUAGUCCCUUUCCUAUCAUUGUGUGUACCUUUCAUAAAUAUUGCAGCAAUAAUGGAUGGAGGGGGUGCUUUGGUUUAGGUAGGCGCAUAGAGGUUAAGGUGGCCCAAUAAUAAUAAAUUCCGAAAAGUAAUAAAUAUAAGGAGAAUCCUAGAAACGUGGUUAUAACCCAAGGAAAGAUGUGGCAAGUCAACGAAAAUAUCGAGCGAUAUCAAAAUUGAUUCAUAAAUUGAUCUCAUCCUCCACAUGGAAACAUGAUACAGAAUGUCAGGUGGGUCCUCAAGAAGCUGUUUUUAGAACAUUGGGCACAAACUAUCAUUCUAGUUUGUUCCCUCCUUCUGUUGAUGGAAUUGGAUGGUUUAUAUAUAUAUAUAUAUAUAUAUAUAUAUAUAUAUAUAUAUACUACUAUANNNNNNNNNNNNNNNNNNNNUUAUAUAUAUAUAUAUAUAUAUAUAUAUAUAUAUAUAUAUACACCUAUGUAUGUAUGAAUAUACAUACAUAUGUAUAUGCAUAUUAAAACAUCAAGGCAUUAUUGUCACCAUAUGAAAUUCAUAUAGCACUUUUUAGGCUGAGAAUUAACAUCCUGAAAUUAUCAACAAAAUGAUGGUGGGACAUGUUCAUCCAACAAACUAGAAUGGUUAUAUGGCCUAGACUAUGAAGCAGAAAAUUGAAAAAGGAUAGCAGUAUUGGCAGUUUUUUUUUAAAAAAAAAUCAGUGUGUAUUUGUGUGCCUGAAUGCAUGUUCUUGUGGGUGGGCAUGUUGCAAUGAGGGGCUGGUAGGUGGGAAUGUUGGUGAUUUUCAGAGGUGAUAUAUGUGGUCUUUCUGCUUUUGCUUGUUUGGUUGGCGGAAUAUAUUCUUAUGUAUGGUGGGUGGUUCUCAUAGUCGCCCUCCAACUGGUUAUUGCCCCCAGCCAAUUAGAUGGCAAGCUCCUUUGCUUCAGAGAGGUGGCUAUAGUAGGGGUAUGAAACCUGACUUGGAUGCCAACUUGGUUUGGUAGCUAGGUCAUGGAUUAGGGUUCAAUUGCAAUUAGCCAAACAGUGUAGAACCUUGUAUUUCUCUUUUCCUCCCACAAAUAGAAAUCACCUUCCCCCCAAAAAAUAGACCAUCUUGACUUCUCACCACAAGUCUGCAGCUAGCGAACUACCCAUCUAGACAUCAGUGGUCAACAACCAGUGGAGCUACCUACCUACCUACCUACCUCCUUCAUGCAGGUAGCUAACUAGUAGUGGACGAAGACUUAAGAGAAGAAUGUGACUCUAUAAGGCAACUUAAAAUCAUAUCUACCUCCUUCCCCCAGACCAGAGAUUGCCUUUCUCCAAAAAAAAAUAGAGUUCGCCUCAAUUUCUUGUUUUAGGUUGACAACUAGGGGGUCUACCCGCAUCCUCAUUGUUAAUGGCUGAUAGCAGUUGGUGAAGACCUAAAAAAUGUCUAAGGCUGUGUGGCAGGACUAUUCUUCCUAUUGACCGAUAACCUCUCUUUGGGUGGUCAAGAUGGAUAGAGGGAAGUGAGACGGGGACAUAGAGGAAAUUGGGCGUUUCAGCCUUAUCCUAGAAACAGUGACAAAAGCAGCAGCUGCGUUGGUGUUAGAUAAGGGACAUAGAUGAGAUUAAAGUGCAAAUCAAAGAGAAAGGGUCAACAUUUUAGGACUUAGGGAUUGAACUAGAGAUGUGUAUCUUCCCCUUUUUUUUUCAAUACUUUAACCUGUGUGGUUUAGGUGAGGGAUUCAACAUUGAGCGGUCUGCAUGCCUAAACAAAUUUGUUUGACGGUUCAAGCAGGCUUUCCCCACUUUCAAUAUUGGACCUAGGUGACAAGUCCGAUGUCUCAACCUAGAUAGGUCAAAUAACAUUGGGUUGAGUCGUUUAUUUUUUUUAAAGGUUGUCAAAUUGCCUAGGUGAGGUCAAGUGGUGGACCCCUAUAUGACCUAGGCAAUCACUUAGGUGCUUAAGCAGCUGCAUAGGGAGGAAAGUCUUCCAAGGAAGGUUUGUCGUACCUAUUUAUUAUCAUUUUGUACUGGAUGUACCGUACUGGUAUUGAACCAGUAUGCAGUCUCUUAUCGUACCGACACUUAGUAUGCCUCGCCAUCUCGUACCGUACUGUAUAUUAACAUUCUAAUAGAAUGGUAUUGGUAUGAGAUCCGUACCAAGAUGGCAAAUUUUGCUUCCGAGCUUUUAUUUGAAGUACCUUCAAUCACAUGUAAGAAUAAGGUUGUAAAUAUAUCAUAUAUAUAUAUAUAUCCUGUUUUCACUAAUAUAGGUAUCAUAAAACCUAUUUUUCACACUUAGAAAGUUCAAACAACAGAAUCCAUAAAAAGAGAAUAGCAACAACAUUGUUGCCCUUACAACAACUAACAGGUCUCAGAACAUGGCCAACACCUAGCAAGAAGCAAGAGGAGGGUUGGAAGCAGUAGCAGCAGGAUGGGCCACAACAAACAAACAUAAAAAAGGAACAACCAGAACAAAAUGGAAAAAUUAGGGGAAAAGGGAAAAAUGGUGAGAUGAAGAAUGUGUAGGAGUAGAAGAAAAUGAGAAAGAAAAUUUAGAAAGAGAAGAAGAUGAGGAUUGAUCUAAGGAAGAACAAAGGAAAAAAUAUACACAAACUUGGUGCUAGUGCUUGGCCACUACAUCCAUCAUUGCAACUUGGGGCUGCUGAUUGACCUAUUGGUAGUUGUUGAUAAGUCCACUGGUUGCUACAAGGUUGAUAGUAGCCUUCACUGCCCUCUUUCAUUUUUCAUCUGGAGGUUUAAACAAGGAAAAAACAGGAAGAAAAAAAACCUUAAAGCAGCAAGGUUUAAGUGGUCUUGGCCUGGCGGCGUAGCCAAAUUAAGCGCCUAGGCGUGCAGGUGGCCAUUUUUGACAGCAAUAUUGUUUUUUAAAGAAAGGGAAUGAGAUCCACUAGCACUAAAGUUAUUCAGGUCUAAAUGCUUGGGGGUCACCAUUCAAUAAUCAAAACCAGAACAUCUGUUUUUUAUAAGAAAUGCAGUGUGACCAUUGGGACCAGCCCCCGGUCACUUCUGUUGUUUAGGGAAUCUUUCUUUUACAUUAGUUGAUUCAAGCCUUUUGCAGUCCACUUCAUCCCCGCCCCCUCUCUCGUGUGCCUUUCUCUGGUGUCGUCAUCAUCUCUCUCUUGUAGUGCUUGUCUUCAACUUUCUAUUUCCUAAUCAAUAAUGCAAACAGUUUAAGAAGGCAAUAACGUUCUGUUGCAUGGGCAUGCUUCCAAACAUAUAUGCACAUAGUGAAAGUCCUCUACACUGGUGUGGUUAAUUAUCUAGUUUUUGGAUCCUCUAUCGACUUCAAAAGCUAAAUACUGGCGAAAAUCCACCGCUAUUUUCGUUAUUGUUCGAGUAUAUUUCACAAACAGAAUAUGUGUAACUUAUGCUGCACAUUCCAAAAUGGCCAUGUUUAUGGAAUAAUGUAACUAUAAGCUGUGCUUCAGAAAGAGUAAACUGUAAAAUACUAUUUAAAGUUGCAAAGUUCAUCAUCUAGCGUGGGAUAUAUCACAAAAAAAUGGAAACAUGAUGUUGCAUAUAAUUUUAGAAGAUUUGUAAACACUGAAGAUUGUCAGUUCUGAGUUGAACUGCUUUAUAUUCUGCUGCAGACUGUUCGUGUUUGGCAAGGGACUGAAGAUGGGAAUUAUAAUUGUCGACAUAUCUUGAAGGACCAUAGUGCAGAGGUAUCUCAGUUCCAGAAACUUGUUUCGUUGCAAAAUAUUUGGGUGUUGUAUGUUCUUUUUCCUAAUAAAAGUGGUGAUAAAUGACAAUCCCGUUUCAUGCAAGAAAUCUUUACUUUUUAAACAUGACUGGCAUUUCAAUAAUUUGAAAAGUUCAUAUUAGCUAAAGUUAUAUAAUUAAAUAGGUGAUUAAUGGCUUGUUGCUUAUCUUUGAAAUUAAGAUUUCUUCUAUAUCAUCAUUUUCCAUCAUAACUAUAUGCUGUUUCUGUAUAGAUAUGAGGAAUUAAUCGCGUCGUUUUUGUCCUCAACGAAAAAAAAAACACUUAAAUUGCAAUAUGGUAGUCCCUAUAUGUUGAGUUGUUCGUAUUUUACUAUGGCUAUGCUAACUGUUUGGUUGAAACUGCUCUUGACAUGAUUCCCUAUGGUCUUGUUAAUAUCGAAUCUUCAUGUGCUAACUUGCUGCAAGAUUUGUGUUGAAGAUAAUUUGUGAGACCAAGUCUCACAUGGAAUAUUAUCUGCAAUCUUUCAGAGAGGGUCACACAAAGUAGAGGCAUUUUGCUUCCAUUCCCUAGGCGCUAGUCACUAUUUCCCCUCUAUUUACUGCAUUUCUUUUUCUCAAAGAAACAUUUCUAUUUACCAUCUAAAAGUCUGAAAAUGUGAAAGACCAGUUGAAACAUAUGUCUAUGUAUGUGAUAUUGAUAUACAAGUUAUUUAUUGCUAUGCCACAUAAUCGGUAUCGACCUCCCACCAGAAGAUGUUUGUAGAAAUAAGAAUGAAGCAAAUUUUAGGAGAAAUAAUUCAACGAUCUGAUCAAUUAACUGCUGGAUUAAAAAUCACUUCUUACAAUACCCGGCAUUGACCAUAAUUUACAAGAACAUUCUGUAGUAUUAAUAAGAGGAGGAAGAAUUAAAGAUUUACCCGGUGUGGAUGUCACAUUAUUCAAGGAACCCUAGAUACUGUUUGAGUGGAGGAUCGUGAACAAGGGUGCGAAGAUAGUUUGCUUAGUUGUAGAGGUAUGACUAUACAGAAUUUGCUG
rnacentral:lncRNA from 1 species